GUUUAAAAGUUGUUGAAUCUAUUACUAAUUUUAAUAUAAUUGAUCUUUGUGGAAAUCCAGUGAGGUUUACAUCACAGGGUCUUCCAAGGGCCAGCUUGUGAGCAUAUCAGUAUCAUUACAUGCUUUUGAAAUGUACCAGGAGGUAACAGCUAGGGUAUUUAUGCCUCUCAGUUUGAGUGGCCAACAAGUUGCUGUAAAACAAACAUUACAAAUGGGAAUCUCAUCCUUCAACUCAGAACAUCAAAGUUUUUAGGUUCCAAGAGUCCAAGAUUCAGGAGUUAUCUGAGCAUGUUCAAAAUGAUCAUAUUGUUUCGACUAUUUCCCAAUUUGUGUACAACUAAGGGUGAACCGACCUGGCCUACAUAAAAUGGGUUGACAAACGAAAUGUUUCAAGGGGAAGGAUAUUCGUGACCAUACCAUAUGACCAUAUUGGACCAAUUCUAGCUGGAUUGAUCGAGAAAAUAAAGGGAGGUUUGGUUGGCUAAAGUUGGAAGUCCCAUUUAGACUAUAGAUAAUGAAGUUUUCAUUUUUACUGUGGUUGGUAUUAAUGGUCAAAACGAAUACGAAGCACAAUUUGUCGGUGUUUUCUGGUGUUUCCUCAUAUCCAAUCAGAAAGCACGACAGGUUUUGCUCCGUAUUCGGCUUGACCACUAAUACCAACAACAGGAGAAAGAUGACACCCCAUUGCCUGCCGUUUAAGCGAAUUUUUCAACUAUCGCCAACCAAAACCUGUCUAACUUUCUGAGAAUCAUUCUUAGCUAAAUUGGUUCAAAAUGGUCCGAUGGUAUUGUCACAAAUAUCUUCCCGCUUGAAGCAUUUUAUUUUUCACCACGUUUCGCUCGUUAACUUCUGUAGGCCUGAUCUAGCUUAUCCUAGCUGUGCACAAAUUUGGGAGCAGUCGAAACAAUCGGUAUCCCGAUUUGACUCCCAAUAUUAGAAUGAAGAUGGUGAAUGAAAGUGGACAAAACCGCCACUUGCCGGCUGAAUGACAAUAUGUAUCCUUUCUGAAGAAGGGAGAAAGGGUUCACAGGCAGACAAAGAUGACCUCAAAGAACUGAGUUGCCAUCUUUGUAAAAAGUUGAUGGUUUUGCCUGAAACUACUCCUUGUGUUCACAACUUCUGCAAAUGAACUUGUGCAGAGGGUGCU